rnacentral:lncRNA from 1 species
CCCUACGAUUAAAAACCUCAGGUCCCUCAGGCAAUCAUACCAGAUAUUGAAACAAAGCAAUAACAUAAGGACUGCAGUAUUCAUUUUAUUUUUAUAUUAUUUAUUUAUUCUUCCUUAGUUUCUUGAGAUUAUCAUCCGCUGAGGGUGGAAGGGGAGUGAGCAGACACACUCAGGAGGUGUCUUGAGAUUAUCAUCCGCUGAGGGUGGAGCUGAGGGUGGAAGGGGAGUGAGCAGACACUCGGGAGGUGUCUUGAGAUUAUCAUCCGCUGAGGGUGGAAGGGGAUAGAGCAGGCACUCGGCAGGUGUCUUGAGAUUAUCAUCCGCUGAGGGUGGAAGGGGAUAGAGCACACACUCGGAAGGUGUCUUGAGAUUAUCAUCCGCUGAGGGUAGAGCUGAGGGUGGAAGGGGAGUGAGCAGACACUCGGGAGGUGUCUUGAGGCUCAGGGAGUUAUCAAUUAUAGAAUGUUGUUGAGUUGGAGGAGGUGGCUGGUGGCCCAUCCUGUU